GCCCAAGGUUGCAGAGCAAAAAUUAUACCUGCCAUAGGAGUGAAAAGUACCAGGUUCUUAUCUCUGGGAUCUGAAGCCACAGCUUUCCUAAACAAGUUCUGGGCGGCAUGCAGGGCAUUAGCAGAAGAUUCCUUAGCUGGCAUCUUGGCCCAACUACUCCUACUGGCGAAGAAGGAUGGCCCCCACCCCUACCUUUGUGUAACUGCCUUGCUGAGAACAGACAUCAAGUGUCUGAGUUGGAGAGUGGGGUCUCGGCCUGGGUUACGUAAUCCCUUCCAGUAACAUGGAUAACCCUGGGCUCCAGCUUGGAAGACCCAUUGUGACCUUAAGUCAAUUAAAGGCCAAUGCUGAGCCCUUCAAUCAAAAAGAAAGAAUUCCAUCUCCUCUCCUGGCUUCACGGCAACUACUGAAAACCGCGUCCCCUGGGGGACAUGAAGAAAUCAUCUAAUAGCUGUGUGUUUUAUUUCGUUAUUUUUUUAAAAUAGCAAUAUCAUUUUUAAUAGCUAUGUUUUAUAAUCUUGUUAUGUUCUCGUUACAUUAGAUUAUUGCUUAUUAUUUUUUUCCUGGUUGGGAAUCACAGUUUUGACUGCCUUAACUCAUGGCAACAAAACCCCAGGGCAAGUCUCUCUGAAACACA
rnacentral:lncRNA from 1 species